rnacentral:tRNA from 1 species
ACAGUGGUGGUUCAGUGGUAGAAUUCUUGCCUUCCAUGCAGGAGACUCAGGUUUGAUUCCUGGCCAAUGCA